rnacentral:ncRNA from 1 species
CGUCUUCAGGGCAGGGUGUGAUUCCCGACCGGCGGUAUAGUCCGCGAGCCUUCGGGCUGAUCCGGUGCGACUCCGGAACCGACAGUAUAGUCUGGAUGGAAGAAGACG